UGAAGGCAAUCAGACCAAUUAGCAGGUGUGUGGUAGGACAGCGACUUCUAAGCGCGCGCGGAUCCUCCCCAGAUCCUGCCGCGGUGGUUUCUGUUGUCUAAGAGGCGGUUUUCUUCCCGAGUCGAACAUGUCUGGACUGUUUGCUGGACUCCUCGGGUCCCGGCUGGCUUUUGCUCCAAGAUCAAGUAAAAUGAUUCAACAAAAAGCAAGUUAUAUCCACGGCAAAACACCGAGAAAUUACGUCGGUGUGGCGGAGUCCGUGUUCGUGCUGACUGUGUUGACUCUGGCCGUCCUCGGGCCUUCUGGUUGGAUACUUGCAAACUUGGACCAUUAUAAAGGCCGUGACUGAAGGAUGAGGCCCUGGAAGAAUUGUCUGUACUUGUUAAAGCAACAUGUCUGGUGUUGAAGGUGUCACCCUUUCUUUUUUAAAGGGGACCCUUUUGAGAGUUUUCGCACGUUCUUGUUAACAAAAUAAAGUUGAGUUUCUCAAUUUCA